AGGGUUUGAUUAUGGCUCAGAACGUACGCUGGCGGCACGCCUAACACAUGCAAGUCGAACGAAGUAGCAAUACUUAGUGGCAGACGGGUGAGUAACAUGUAGGUAUCUGCCCUUUGGCCUGGAAUAACACGAGGAAACUUGUGCUAAUACCGGAUAAGUCUUAACGGAGAAAGCUUUAUGCACCAUUGGAUGAGCCUGCACUUGAUUAGUUUGUUGGUGGGGUAAUGGCCUACCAAGACUGUGAUCAAUAGCUGAUUUGAGAGGAUGAUCAGCCACAUUGGGACUGAGACACGGCCCAAACUCCUACGGGAGGCAGCAGUGGGGAAUCUUGCACAAUGGAGGAAACUCUGAUGCAGCGAUGCCGCGUGAGUGAAGAAGGCCCUUGGGUUGUAAAGCUCUUUCGUCGGGGAAGAAAAUGACUGUACCCGAAUAAGAAGGUCCGGCUAACUUCGUGCCAGCCGCCGCGGUAAUAC
rnacentral:rRNA from 1 species